rnacentral:rRNA from 1 species
AUUGAACGCUGGCGGCAGGCCUAACACAUGCAAGUCGAGCGAGCGGCGGACGGGUGAGUAAUGUCUGGGAAACUGCCUGAUGGAGGGGGGUAACUUCUGGAAACGGUAGCUAAUACCGCAUACCAUCAGAUGUGCCCAGAUGGGAUUAACUAGUAGGUGGGGUAAUGGUUCACCUAGGCGACGAUCCCAAGCUGGUCUGAGAGGAUGACCAGCAACACUGGAAGUGAGACACGGUCCAGAAUCGUAGGGGAGGCAGCAGUGGGGAAUAUUGCACAAUGGGCGCAAGAAUGGUGCAGCCAUGCCGCGAGUGUGAAGAAGGGCUGCGGGUUGUAAAGCACUUUCAGCGGGGAGGAGUUACCCGAAGAAGAAGCACAGGCUAACUCCGUGCCAGCAGCCGCGGUAAUAC